UCAAAGAAGCUGCUUUGUGGGCACUUGUCUCCUUUAUAUGGGUAGUCAAUGAUGGCUAGAGUGUCGCCGCGGCUGGACGAGACCGCUUCUCCCAGAACAUUUCCACUGCAGUUGUUUGACAUGGGACUGGAGGUCUAGAAAAGCGCUUGAAAAGUUUUCCUUCGGGAUGGGUUGCCUCUGCACAAUCACUUUAUUCCCAAGUGUAUCGUGUAUUGCGGGGAUCACCUUCAGAUAUGGUUAUGGGCGGGGAUGGCCUUUGGGCAUGGUUAUGGCUUUCUAAUAAUUACAACAACAAUGAGCACAGGCAUGUAAUUGCCUUUUUAUGGCUUUAUAAUAGUUACAACAACAAUGAGCAUGAGAUUUCCAGAAUACACAGAUGGCUGGAGAAAUGGCCCAGGAAAUCAACUUUUGUUAGACUUGCUGGUGAAGGAGAUUGGUCCCACCAAUAUAAGCUGAAGAGUUAGCGGAUUGUUUGGACUGAAUUCUGAAUAUGUUGUGUUUGUGCCAUGUGAGAGAAAUAGCAUAUUGUUAUCAUCUUCAUAUAGUAGUAGAGUGUUCUCAGUGUUGCCCCUGGAUAAAAAUGUACAUUGAGGAGCCGAUCAUUUCAGUACAGACUACAGAGGGACGACGGCUUGAGAUAUAGUCUCAGCACCAUCAUUGGCUGCAAGAAUUUGCUCCCUGGAAGCGAAAAUGUCAACACGCAUAUUUUCCCCUCACGUGACGAAUUGAUAAAAGGACAAUAUUUUGGUUAUCCAUGCAAUCCUACAAUUGAAUGCAGUAUUUUGCUCAUCCAUGAGAAGCAA